UACGUAGGUGGCAAGCGUUGUCCGGAAAUACUGGGUGUAAAGGGCGUGUAGGCGGGACUGCAAGUCAGAUGUGAAAUUCCCAGGCUCAACCUGGGGGCUGCAUCUGAAACUGUGGUUCUUGAGUGCUGGAGAGGAAAGCGGAAUUCCUAGUGUAGCGGUGAAAUGCGUAGAUAUUAGGAGGAACACCAGUGGCGAGGGCGGUUUUCUGGACAGUAACUGACGCUGAGGCGCGAAAGCGUGGGGAGCAAACAGG
rnacentral:rRNA from 1 species